rnacentral:lncRNA from 1 species
UCCUGACAAGAUUACGGAAAGGGCAUUGAAAGGCUAGUCGAAAAUGAUAUCUAGCUCCAUAUGGCUGGCAGAGACUUUAAGACAUCCUUCCACAGUGCUGGGGAAUGGUUGGACCAUAGAUCAUUUGGUACUUCGGAUUAGGGAAACAGAAUUAAAUACACAGUGACACAAGUUGUUAAGGAGGGGAAAGAUAUUAAAUAUAUAAUAAGACGUGUGAAAAAAAGAAAAAUAGAGGAAAAAUGAUUAAAUAAUUUGUGGUCCACUGUGAACCAGGUCCAACCAAUAAAUGAGCCACGAGAUGCAGACAACUGUUCUUCUCUUAGACUAAAUUGGCUUCAAACUUCUCCUUCUAUGAUAUGCACGUAUUCUUCCACUUUCUGCCCUUCCUAGUUAGGUAUUUAACUUACCUCCGCUCUCUAUUUAUAUUCACAAACCAUCUUCCAAAUUAGCCGGAUGAUCAAGGUUUUUACGUUCACCAAAAAAAAAAAAAAAGAAGAUAAGUGACAAGUUCAAACACAAAGAGAAUUCAUUUUGUAUGAGACCAUUGGUUGCUCUCUUCCAGGAAAGGAGAGAAGACAAAAUGACUCAUGAGACACUCACUUAGUUUACCAAAGCUUCUUCAUAAGUUUCAUUGUGCCCUUUAAAAAAAAAAAAA